rnacentral:rRNA from 1 species
AGAAUCAACGCUGGCGGCGUGCCUAACACAUGCAAGUCGAACGCGAGAGGGGAGCAAUCCCUGAUUGAGUGGCAAACGGGUGAGUAACACGUGGGUGACCUGCCUCAGAGUGGGGGAUAACGUCCCGAAAGGGACGCUAAUACCGCAUAACAUCCUGCCUUUGGAAAGGCGGAGAUCAAAGCCGGGGAUCGCAAGACCUGGCGCUUGGAGAGGGGCCCGCGUCUGAUUAGCUAGUUGGUAGGGUAAUGGCCUACCAAGGCUACGAUC